GAUGAACGCUAGCUACAGGCUUAACACAUGCAAGUCGAGGGGUAGCAGGGUAGCAAUACCGCUGACGACCGGCGCACGGGUGAGUAACACGUAUCCAACCUUCCCAUAACUCGGGGAUAGCCUUUCGAAAGAAAGAUUAAUACCCGAUAGUACUUAUAUAGGGCGUCCUACAUAAGUUAAAGAUUUAUUGGUUAUGGAUGGGGAUGCGUUCCAUUAGAUAGUUGGUGAGGUAACGGCUCACCAAGUCUUCGAUGGAUAUGGGUUCUGAGAGGAAGGUCCCACACAUUGGUACUGAGACGCGGACCAACCUCCUACGGGAGGCGGCAGUGAGGAAUAUUGGUCAAUGGGCGAGAGCCUGAACCAGCCAAGUAGCGUUAAGGAUGAAGGUCCUAUGGAUUGUAAACUUCUUUUAUAGUAGAAUAAAGUGAUCCACGUGUGGAUUUUUGUAUGUAUACUAUGAAUAAGGAUCGGCUAACUCCGUGCAAGCCGCCGCCGUAACAC
rnacentral:rRNA from 1 species